GGCUAUGGAAGUAUCUUGCACCUUCAACUAUGUUGCUUUCGAUCUUCACUUCUUUCAGAUCCAUACAAUUCGUACAUUUUAUAGAAUAUAGGUUCGGCAGAUUUGCUAAAGCCAAAAUAUUCAGUGACCUUGAAUCUCUGAAAUCUAGAAGGCUUACAUGUUCAAUGGCACAGCUAAAGAACUUGUUGAACCUCGAAGCUUUUUCCAACUCCGAAGCGCUUCUAAAAGUAAGAGUCAACACAUUCAAAUAUUUUAAAUGCUCUAUUUCCUCCAAAAGCAAUGACCAUCCAUAGCCACAUCUCAUCAUUUUCAGUACUUGCAACUUAGAGAAACCGGAUAUAAGUUGUUGUGGGAUCAUUUCUAGAUCGCGUGUCCACUCUAGAUUCAAAUAUUUCAGCUUUUCCAGGGCCUUCAAUUCCACCGGCAACUUUCUUAUUUUUGUGAAUGACAGGUUGAGAUGUUCUAGUGAAACCGACUUUGCAAUUCCUAUCGGCAAUUCUUCCAAAUUCGUAUUGUCGGACAAGUCUAGAACCCUUAGCAUCGGCAUAGAAUUAAAGAAAUCAUCCAUGAUUACCUUCAAAUCAUUGCUCCUAAGAAACAAAGUUUGGAGAUUGGGACAUUCCAAUAUCUCAGUUAGAUUUUCAAUUUGAUUAUCCAUCAGUGACAUUCUUGUUAUCUUUUCCCACUUUUCAGCUUCCGGUAGUUCCUUUAACUGAACACCUGAUUUUACCAAAAAUUUCUCCUUCUCAAAUGCACCAACAAUCCACAAAGCCAUGUCGCGAACCACAUCGUGCAUCCUUACACGAUCACCUAUAACGAAACGUCCCUGGUUUCUGGCAGUGCUUAAAUCGGUAUGCUCGUCCAUAAAUCCUUCCCUGAUCCAACAAUGUAUUAGUUCAUCCAUUUGGAUGGGAUAAUCUUCUGGAUAUAAAGAACAAUACAAGAAACAAGAUUUGACUCUUUCACUCGUUAAACUGUCAUAACUGAAUUUUAACUUGGGAUACAUCUCUUUCCCUACCCCUCGGAACACAGAAGCCGCUGAAUGCCUUAAAACUUCAAUAGGAUAUUCCCAUUCUGGAGGGGUCUUCUUGGAUGCCAUGGCUCGCCCAAUUGUAAUGAGAGCGAGAGGUAGCCCUGCACACUCUUCAACCACCGCUUCAGCUAACUUGCAAAUAUCUGGAUGCAUUCGAAGGGUUUCUGAUCCAACCUUCUCCUCGAACAGUUUGAAAGCUUCUCCUGGUGGUAAACAUUCCACUCUGAUAUUAUUAUCCAUGUUCGGUUGCAUUUGACAGCACACGUCAAGACGACGAGUUGUGAAAAUGACUCUAGAGCCAUUUCCUUGUGUUGGAAGAGGCACCCCAGCUCUUGUGAGAUCAAACCAUUCCCAUAUAUCAUCCAACAACAAUGCAAACUUCUUUCUACAUAAUACGUUGAAGAUAUCUUCAGCUUUCUCAUCACGGCUCUUAGAUUCCCAACCUUCAUUGGGAAGGCCUAUUCUUUUGGCAAUCUGAUUCUGGACUUUUUCAAUUGGCCGAUCUUGAGAUGCAACUGCCCAAAUGACAUGGUAAUCAUGGGUAGUAUCAUGGAACUUGUUAUUGAUUUGGUUUAGAAGGGUUGUCUUGCCAACCCCUCCUAAGCCAUAUAUGCCAAUAAUUCCCACUUGUUCCUUUUGAAGACAGCUCCAAACCUGAUUUACAUAGGACUCUAAACACACAGUUGGAUCAGAAGGUCGUUUAUUUGCGGAAGGAAUUGGUGGCUUGCAGGCCACAUCACUGAAAUCUCCAUUCUCCUUCAGGCCUUUCACCUCUUGGAGUAUUGUGGCGAUUUGCUUCCCGAACUUGUGGGUGGACCUGGGAUGCCUGGAACAACAACCUCCCAUACAUAACUUUUCAACAUACUGAGGACUUUGGACAGUCAGUUUAUCAGCAUCGGUUAUCACACGAUCAGCCCUCUGAAGCCAAAGAUCAACUUGGGGUAGCCUCUUAAGUUGCUUCUCAUCUUCAGCGACCCUGACCCUGCUCAUCAGAUCCCUCCUGGUCGCCUUCAAAUCUUCCACUUCAGUUUUUAAAGCAGGGAGGUUUUCUUCAAGUUUGCAUAGAAAAGCAGAAUCCCAGCAACGGGUAAUGAUGGUAUCGAGUGAAAGUGAGAUUGAGAAGAUAUUACCCAUACCUGUUUUUGAUUUUAGAAGAGUGAGCUGAACAAUUUCUGGAAAUAGAAGCAAGGAAUAAAUCAAAGAUGCUUAUAGAGCUAUAUGAAAGAUUGAGAAUAUUUUGGUAAACAAAAACAAAGAGAGAAAAUUCGCAGGUAAAGAAAGACAAACCGUUGGAAGUUCA